rnacentral:rRNA from 1 species
CGAAUGCUGACAUAAGUAACGAUAAAGCGGGUGAAAAGCCCGCUCGCCGGAAGACCAAGGGUUCCUGUCCAACGUUAAUCGGGGCAGGGUGAGUCGACCCCUAAGGCGAGGCCGAAAGGCGUAGUCGAUGGGAAACAGGUUAAUAUUCCUGUACUUGGUGUUACUGCGAAGGGGGGACGGAGAAGGCUAUGUUGGCCGGGCGACGGUUGUCCCGGUUUAAGCGUGUAGGCUGGUUUUCCAGGCAAAUCCGGAAAAUCAAGGCUGAGGCGUGAUGACGAGGCACUACGGUGCUGAAGCAACAAA